UACGGGGGGGGCAAGCGUUGUUCGGAAUUACUGGGCGUAAAGGGCUCGUAGGCGGCCAACUAAGUCGGACGUGAAAUCCCUCGGCUUAACCGGGGAACUUCGUCCGAUACUGGAUGGCUUGAGAUUGGGAGAGGGAUGCGGAAUUCCAGGUGUAGCGGUGAAAUGCGUAGAUAUCUGGAGGAACACCGGUGGCGAAGGCGGCAUCCUGGACCAACACUGACGCUGAUGAGCGAAAGCCAGGGGAGCAAACGGG
rnacentral:rRNA from 1 species